ensembl:lncRNA
GUCUUUAUGGUUGCUGUUUGCUGGCUGGGAGCAGAUGCCCAACGUGAUCCCGCCAGGCGCUAAGUGCUGUGGCGUAGCUCUAGAGAAGUGUUUGGAUAUAUACAAACAGCCAGAUCUGGUUUUCCAGUAGAGUGAAAAAUCUGGAAAACAAAUCCACUUGGUACUUCCCAAAUGGGCAGGAUAAUUAAAGGGACACUAAGUUGUAAGCACUGCUUACAAACCAGCCUUUACUUCUGCACUCUAUAAAUGUCUUUUUUCCUUUUUUUUUUUUCCUUCCAGUUGACAGAUGCUUAGUCUUCCUCAACUAUUUACAUUAAAUUAAGGUAAAUUAAACAUCUUCCUUACCAGCUGUAGUUUGCUGAGUCAUACUGUAACAUCAGCACUCUGUGUAAGUAAGCCAGCCGGGGCUCAGUACCCAGAAGGAGCAGCAAAGCAAACUGGUGUCAAGUAGGUGAAUCCAGCUAGAAGAAAUAGAAAAUGUUAAGCUUUGUGUAGUACCGCAGGGCAAUCUUUCAGGCAAAUAACUUAUGUCACCCAAUGUUAUGUGUGUUUUAGUGCUCGCUUAAUGAUGGCCUAAUAUUUCAAACAAAAUACAAGUUCUGUAAUGAGAUACCUUGUUUCUACCAGGAUGUUAUUAGGAUACCUGCUACAGCGAUCUAAUGAGAUUGACCUUCAUUCCAUAAGAAACUGCUCUCCUCCAGAAACUAUUUUUAAUGGCCAUCAUGAUUUAUGCAAGGGAAUCUAUAGCAAUAGCUUUAAUGUGCGGCGAAUAAAUGAUUCGAGUAAUAAUAAAUUAUAAGAAAAUGACAAGUUACUUUAAAGGACUGCUAAAUUUUUACCAUGUUAUGCAUCGGUUGAGUACAACACUGUGAAAAUCUCCUAUGGCUUUGUUCUGUCUGCAAAGAGCAAAAUAAAUGAGUUCAGUUCAUAAUGGGUAGAAGAAAAAACCCGUGUAAUUGCUAACCCCGAGCGUGUGCUAGCAGCUCGCAGGCUUUCACCUUCAGGCUAUCUCGCUCCCUGGAGUGCCAUUUGCUGCCAUCUACCGGACGUCUCUAACAAAUUCAAGGAGACUCAAAACCAGAGCUCUGAUCUCCAUUCCCCUUCUGAUGCUCAAAGCUUUAGUGCAAGUGACUUCUAAUAUCUAUUGUAACGAGAACCCGUUUUAGAGGGUGAUGAGAGAGGAAUCUAUAGUCUGAAUAUUCGUGCUGAUUGUCUUUAGAUGCUGGAUUAGUAGGAGCAGGAUGGUCAUAGCACUUCAGAGGAAAGAUGCUAAAGAGACAGAUAGAGUCAGUGUUACACUAACAGUAGAUAAGAACACUUUGCUAUUCUGUAGUUAUUUUAAUCUGAAAAGCCUAAGUACCUUGCUAGCGUUAUUUAAUCCUCACCGUAUCUUUCAAAGAUUUCUUUUAGUACAUGAAAGUCUUUUAUUAACUCUUUUAUUUAAGGGAAGGCCUCACGAAAACAAAAAAGAGCAAGUAUUUCCUCCAAGACCAUAUACGUUCCCAUGUUAAGACUAAGGACUAAGGACUUUAAAAUCUAUAUAUGCAGCAUCAUUUGGUGGCUUCUGAACUAAUAGGAUCCCAAAGCAGGGAUUUAUGGACCUUGCUGCAUUGUAGAGGUGAGUCAGCCAAUAUCCCCCAGCAGAGGUAUGCUCUCCUUGCCACGUACAACUUCCUCACCAAUGCGGAAUCACACCUUCAUCCCCAUUUCCAGGCUUUGGCUUUUGUAGUCACUUAUCGAAAUAGAUUGGGGAUAAGGCCCGCUUUCCAGAAGCAGUUCAACCAGGCUGUUCUUCCUUCCUUUUCAGGGGAUAGCAUAAAUUCACAACCACGCCACGGUUUUCUUUUGGCAGUUUGGAGACGUAGGAAAUGUUGCCAUCAGGUGUUCCUAAUUUAAUUCAAUCCCUUGUUAAGUUGAGCUCUCCUAUAAUUCAGUCUCAGCCUCGAGACCUGAGUCGUUCGUAUUAAAGGUAACACAAUGGCCACCCUUCCUUUUAAUCAGUGUUGACUGCUUUAGGCAGGUAUUUCCAGAUAAUCUGAUUACAAAACCACGAUGAGCUGGCACUUAGUUAAUAACCGAUCAGAAAAAUUUGGAAAAGAAUCAAAGGAGAAGAGGAGAAGAGAAAAAGGAAAAGAAAGCCUUACAAAGACAUGCGGUGUUAGAGGAAAU